rnacentral:lncRNA from 1 species
UGUUUACAUGCAUUCUUAUGUUUUAUGCAUUCUGUUGAUGCACAAAACCGAAAUGUCUUAAAACAACGUAAAUCCAACCGUGAAUCAUGCAAACACCCAAGAACACAAAGAUGUAUCGUAGUUCACCCCAAUGUUUGGGCUACGUCCACUCUGAUGUUGAUUGUAUUUCUCUGUAAUUGUAUGUAUGGAUUACAAGUGUGAGGGGGAGUCCCCUAGAGAAAGAGAGAGAUUAAGAGAGUUUCUCUGUUUGUGAGGGUAUUGCCCUCUAUUGGGUUCACAGAGUCUGAUUUCUGAGGGGGGAUGAGUCAUCUUUUAUAGAAUAAAGGGCUUCUCCUUUUACAUAAUUAUGGGCUGGGUAAUGAGGCCCAAAUGUUGAGGCCCAAUGUGUCAAAGCCUGAGGCCCAAUAUGUGUGGUACCAACAGCAGUCCCCCAAGUCUUCAGUCAAAAUAGUCUUUUGGUUGGAGACUUCAAAUCCAAUCCAUGUACGGGCCAAAGUGGCUAGAUGUCUUGAACCAAUACUCAACACAAGGCAAUGCUCAACAUAGAGCAAUACUUGGCUAGAUGUGUCACACGUUACG